CCUACGGGUGGCAGCAGUGAGGAAUAUUGGUCAAUGGGCUUACGCCUGAACCAGCCAAGUCGCGUGAGGGAAGACUGCCCUAUGGGUUGUAAACCUCUUUUGUCAGGGAGCAACGCCGGCUAAGUGUAGCCGGACUGAGAGUACCUGAAGAAAAAGCAUCGGCUAACUCCGUGCCAGCAGCCGCGGUAAUACGUAGGAUGCGAGCGUUAUCCGGAUUUAUUGGGUUAAAGGGGUGCGUAGGCGGAAUGCCAAGUCAGCGGUAAAAUAGCGGGGCUAAACCUCGCGGCGCCGUUGAAACUGGCGUUCUUGAGUGGACGAGAAGUAUGCGGAAUGCGUGGUGUAGCGGUGAAAUGCAUAGAUAUCACGCAGAACUCCGAUUGCGAAGGCAGCAUACCGG
rnacentral:rRNA from 1 species